rnacentral:rRNA from 1 species
GGGGGGGGGGGGGGGGGGGGGGGGGGGGGGGGGGGCGGGGGGGGGGGGGGGGGGUGUGGGGGGUGGGCGGGGGGCGGACGGGUGAGGGGGACGUGGGUAAGGUGCGCGUGACGGGGGGGGGACUUCAGGGAACUGGGGGUGAUACCGGAUAGGAGCUGCUGCUGCAUGGUGGGGGUUGGAAAGUGUCGGUGGGUGGGGAGGGGCUCGCGGCUUGUCCGCUUGGUGGGGGGGGAGUGGCUUACCAAGGCUUGGACGGGUAGCCGGCCUGCGAGGGGGACCGGCCACAUUGGGACGGGGCUACGGCCCAGACUCCUACGGGAGGCAGCAGUGGGGAAUAUUGCACAAUGGGCGGAAGCCUGAUGCAGCAACGCCGCGUGCGGGAUGACGGCCUUCGGGUUGUAAACCGCUUUCGCCUGUGACGAAGCGUGAGUGACGGUAAUGGGUAAAGAAGCACCGGCUAACUACGUG